rnacentral:rRNA from 1 species
GUGGCGGGGCGGCAGCUACACAUGCAGUCGAGCGGUAGAGAGAAGCUUGCUUCUCUUGAGAGCGGCGGACGGGUGAGUAAUGCCUAGGAAUCUGCCUGGUAGUGGGGGAUAACGUUCGGAAACGGACGCUAAUACCGCAUACGUCCUACGGGAGAAAGCAGGGGACCUUCGGGCCUUGCGCUAUCAGAUGAGCCUAGGUCGGAUUAGCUAGUUGGUGGGGUAAUGGCUCACCAAGGCGACGAUCCGUAACUGGUCUGAGAGGAUGAUCAGUCACACUGGAACUGAGACACGGUCCAGACUCCUACGGGAGGCAGCAGUGGGGAAUAUUGGACAAUGGGCGAAAGCCUGAUCCAGCCAUGCCGCGUGUGUGAAGAAGGUCUUCGGAUUGUAAAGCACUUUAAGUUGGGAGGAAGGGUUGUAGAUUAAUACUCUGCAAUUUUGACGUUACCGACAGAAUAAGCACCGGCUAACUCUGUGCCAGCAGCCGCGGUAAUACAGAGGGUGCAAGCGUUAAUCGGAAUUACUGGGCGUAAAGCGCGCGUAGGUGGUUUGUUAAGUUGGAUGUGAAAUCCCCGGGCUCAACCUGGGAACUGCAUUCAAAACUGACUGACUAGAGUAUGGUAGAGGGUGGUGGAAUUUCCUGUGUA